UACGAAGGGGGCUAGCGUUGCUCGGAAUUACUGGGCGUAAAGCGCACGUAGGCGGCUUGUUAAGUCGGGGGUGAAAUCCUGGAGCUCAACUCCAGAACUGCCUUCGAUACUGGCGAUCUCGAGUUCGGGAGAGGUGAGUGGAACUGCGAGUGUAGAGGUGAAAUUCGUAGAUAUUCGCAAGAACACCAGUGGCGAAGGCGGCUCACUGGCCCGGUACUGACGCUGAGGUGCGAAAGCGUGGGAAGCAAACAGG
rnacentral:rRNA from 1 species